rnacentral:rRNA from 1 species
CCUGGCGGGUGCCUACCAUGCAAGUCGAACGGAGUAGUGUUCAACACCGAGUACUAACUAAAGUGUUGACCGACAGCGCAUAUGAGCGAACGAAGAGAGCUCAUUACGCAAAUAAAAGUGCCAACACCAAUGACGUAGAACUGGGUGUUGAACAUUACUUAGUGGCGAACGGGUGAGUAACGCGUAGACAACCUGCCUUCUAGAUGGGGACAACACUGCGAAAGUGGUGCUAAUACCGAAUGUUGUAUUGAGCCUGCAUGGGCUCGAUACUAAAGGUGGCCUCUAUUUAUAAGCUAUCACUAGAAGAUGGGUCUGCGUCUGAUUAGCUAGUUGGUGAGGUAAUGGCUCACCAAGGCGAUGAUCAGUAGCCGGUCUGAGAGGAUGAACGGCCACACUGGGACUGAGACACGGCCCAGACUCCUACGGGAGGCAGCAGUGGGGAAUCUUCCGCAAUGGACGAAAGUCUGACGGAGCAACGCCGCGUGAGUGAAGAAGGUUUUCGGAUCGUAAAGCUCUGUCUUUGAGGACGAAUGUGUCUAAUGUGAAUAAUGUUAGAUAAUGACGGUACUCGAGGAGGAAGCCACGGCUAACUACGUGCCAGCAGCCGCGGUAAUACGUAGGUGGCAAGCGUUGUCCGGAAUUAUUGGGCGUAAAGCGCGCGCAGGCGGGAUAUUAAGUCUGUUUUAAAAGUUCGGGGCUCAACCCCGUGAUGGAAUGGAAACUAAUAUUCUUGAGUGCAGGAGAGGAAAGUGGAAUUCCCAGUGUAGCGGUGAAAUGCGUAGAUAUUGGGAGGAACACCAGUGGCGAACGCGACUUUCUG